rnacentral:rRNA from 1 species
AUUGAACGCUGGCGGCAGGCCUAACACAUGCAAGUCGAACGAGUGGCGGACGGGUGAGUAAUGUCUGGGAAACUGCCUGAUGGAGGGGGAUAACUACUGGAAACGGUAGCUAAUACCGCAUACCAUCAGAUGUGCCCAGGUGGGAUUAGCUUGUUGGUGGGGUAACGGCUCACCAAGGCGACGAUCCCUAACUGGGCUGAGAGGAUGACCAGGCAAACGGGAACUGAGACACGGGCCAGACUCCUACGGGAGGCAGCAGUGGGGAAUAUUGGACAAUGGGGGCAAGCCUGAUUCAGCCAUGCCGCGUGUAUGAAGAAGGCCUUCGGGUUGGAAAGUACUUUAAGCGGGGAGGCGUUACCCACAGAAGAAGCACCGGCUAACUCCGUGCCAGCAGCCGCGGUAAUUC